AUUGAACGCUGGCGGCAGGCCUAACACAUGCAAGUCGAACGGUAACAGGAAACAGCUUGCUGUUUCGCUGACGAGAGGCGGACGGGUGAGUAAUGUCUGGGAAACCGCCUGAUGGAGGGGGAUAACUACUGGAAACGGUAGCUAAUACCGCAUAACGUCGCAAGACCAAAGAGGGGGACCUUCGGGCCUCUUGCCAUCGGAUGUGCCCAGAUGGGAUUAGCUAGUAGGUGGGGUAACGGCUCACCUAGGCGACGAUCCCUAGCUGGUCUGAGAGGAUGACCAGCCACACUGGAACUGAGACACGGUCCAGACUCCUACGGGAGGCAGCAGUGGGGAAUAUUGCACAAUGGGCGCAAGCCUGAUGCAGCCAUGCCGCGUGUAUGAAGAAGGCCUUCGGGUUGUAAAGUACUUUCAGCGGGGAGGAGGGGAGUAAAGUUAAUACCUUUGCUCAUUGACGUUACCCGCAGAAGAAGCACCGGCUAACUCCGUGCCAGCAGCCGCCGUAA
rnacentral:rRNA from 1 species